rnacentral:rRNA from 1 species
UACGAAGGGGGCUAGCGUUGCUCGGAAUUACUGGGCGUAAAGGGCGCGUAGGCGGACAUUUAAGUCAGAGGUGAAAGCCCAGGGCUCAACCUUGGAAUUGCCUUUGAUACUGGAUGUCUUGAGUUCGGGAGAGGUGAGUGGAAUGCCGAGUGUAGAGGUGAAAUUCGUAGAUAUUCGGCGGAAUACCAGUGGCGAAGGCGACUCACUGGCCCGAUACUGACGCUGAGGCGCGAAAGCGUGGGGAGCAAACAGG